rnacentral:misc_RNA from 1 species
GAUGAAGAACGUAGUGAAAUGCGAUAAGUAAUGUGAAUUGCAGAAUUCAGUGAAUCAUCGAAUCUUUGAACGCACCUUGCGCCCUUUGGCUAUUCUGAAGGGCAUGCCUGUUUGAGUAUCAUGAACACCUCAACUCUCAUGGCCUGCCAUGAUGAGCUUGGACUUUGGGGGUCUUGCCGGCCUAGCGUCGGCUCCUCUCAAAUGGAUCAGCUUGCCAGUGUUUGGUGGCGUCACAGGUGUGAUAACUAUCUACGCUUGUGGUUUUCCGCCAGGUAACCUCCAGCGAUGGAGGUUCGCUGGAGCUCACAAAUGUCUCUCCUCAGCGAAGACAGCUCUUGAACGUUUGAUCUCAAAUCAGGUAGGACUACCCGCUGAACUUAAGCAUAUCAAUAAGCGGAGGA